AUACGGAGGAUCCGAGCGUUAUCCGGAUUUAUUGGGUUUAAAGGGUGCGCAGGCGGGAGAUUAAGUCGGCGGUGAAAUUUUGCAGCUCAACUGUAAAAGUGCCUUCGAAACUGGGUUUCUUGGGGGUAGAUGAAGAAGGGGGAAUUUGUGGUGUAGAGGUGAAAUGCAUAGAUAUCACGAGGAACCCCGAUUGCGCAGGCAGCGUACUAAACUACUACUGACGCUCAGGCACGAAGGCGUGGGGAUCAAACAGGAUUAGAUACCCUGGUAGUCCACGCAGUAAACGAUGAUUACUAGCUGUUUGCGAUACAAUGUAAGCGGCUGAGCGAAAGCGUUAAGUAAUCCACCUGGGGAGUACGUUCGCAAGAAUGAAACUCAAAUGAAUUGGCGGGG
rnacentral:rRNA from 1 species